UGCCAGCAGCCGCGGUAAUACGUAGGUGGCAAGCGUUGUCCGGAUUUACUGGGCGUAAAGAGCGCGCAGGCGGCCAGGUCAGUCGAAUGUGAAAGCCCCCGGCUCAACUGGGGAGGGUCGUUCGAUACUGCUUGGCUUGAAGAUAGGAGAGGGAAGUGGAAUUUCAGGUGUAGUGGUGAAAUGCGUAGAUAUCUGAAGGAACACCAGUGGCGAAGGCGACUUUCUGGCCUAUUCUUGACGCUGAGGCGCGAAAGCUAGGGGAGCGAACGGGAUUAGAUA
rnacentral:rRNA from 1 species